GAGCCCGAUCUCAUCUGGGUCGGCACCCUGACUCACCAGAUACACCACCUCCUGUAACAAACUCGUACCUACAUGCAUUAGAUGAAGAAAGCAAAGUUGUUUUGGAUGAAUUAUUGAUGUUUUGAUCAUCACAGCUGACAAGGAGCAACCCAUCCAUCUGAUGCAGAUGCUCCUAUGCUUCACAGAACAUGUUGAGUUUAUUGGAUGAAACUACUUCUGUUUAGUUGAGGAGAAGCAAUUAUACUGCCACCUCAGCAGAACUCUUAUUUGUUGACUACAUAAGAGUUUUCAAGAGUACAAAACAAAGAUUCAACUGGCAGUACACCGUGUGACUCUAUUGACCUGUCAUCCAUCACAGUCCGCUUUAGACACACAUUUUAGUGUGUAACACUCAGUAGAGCUCGGCCUUACCUCGGCGCUCCAAGCUCAAUUACACCAACGCUGGUGCGACACAACGUUCUCUGCAAAGCCAAGCGAUUUCAGACCCUCACGCUAUCAUUCAUACUGUCCUGCUGUCUGUUGAACUCUCAGUUCAUCUCUUCAUAACCGCACAGUGGUAUCUGUAUCAUGUUAUAUAAACAGCUGCAUCCAUGUAGACAUCCCUUGACUGUACUAAUGUUGUUUAGGCAUAGGGAGGUUUUUUUAGUAAAACUUUACAAUAAGGUUUUAUUUGUGAACAUUAGUUAACAUUAACAAUGACAAAUAAUUCUAAAGCAUUCAUUAAGCUUAACCAAUGUUCAUUUCAACACAUACAUUACUGAAAUUAAAAGUAUUUGUUUUCAUUAUUUAAAGGCCCUGGGCAGAGAUGAAGUAACAAUGGACCGUUGUAUUUUUAUUAACAAACAUUAAAAGGAACAGACCACCCAAAAAAUUUGCUGCCAUUCAAUAUGUAGAUGAGUUUGUUUCUUCAUCAGAGCAGAUUUGGAGAAAUUUAGCAUUACAUAACUUUCUCACCAAUGGAUCCUCUGC